rnacentral:tRNA from 1 species
UCCUGCUUAGCUCAGUUGGUGGAGCGCUCCACUGGAAAUGGAGAGGUGUCAGGUUCGAUACCAGGACCAGGCG